GCAGAGUUAACUCCUCAUCUAGUAGCGGUCUACCAGACAGCCACUAGAGGACCUUCCUGGUACUCAUACGAUUUUUGGUUGUCUAAAUGAUGCUGGACGUUCUCACGCUAUCCAUGAGGACUUCCAGCAUCACCGGAAUCCCCAUAGGAAAGCAUUAAUUGCCAUUACGGUGCAUGUGCAUUAGGUAGGUCUCCCCUGCCAACAUCAGCGUGGGCGGAGCCUGACCCAGCGCAGAGGGACAUUGGUGCUGGAUUCAUAUAAGUGACUGAAGGUGUCAGCCCCUUCAGUGGGAGGGGGGCACUGUAGGAUUC